GAUGAACGCUAGCUACAGGCUUAACACAUGCAAGUCGAGGGGCAGCAUGGUCUUAGCUUGCUAAGACUGAUGGCGACCGGCGCACGGGUGAGUAACGCGUAUCCAACCUUCCCCGCAGUAGGGGAUAGCCCGGCGAAAGUCGGAUUAAUACCCUAUGUGUCCCAAGAUAGCAUUUGAUUGGGACGAAAGAUUGAUCGCUGCGGGAUGGGGAUGCGUCUGAUUAGGCAGCAGGCGGGGUGACGGCCCACCUGGCCGACGAUCAGUAGGGGUUCUGAGAGGAAGGUCCCCCACAUUGGAACUGAGACACGGUCCAAACUCCUACGGGAGGCAGCAGUGAGGAAUAUUGGUCAAUGGGCGCAGGCCUGAACCAGCCAAGUAGCGUGAGGGACGACGGCCCUACGGGUUGUAAACCUCUUUUGCCGGGGGAUAAAGUUCGCCAUGCGUGGCGUUUUGCAUGUACCCGGAGAAUAAGGACCGGCUAAUUCCGUGCCAGCAGCCGCGGUAAUACGGAAGGUCCGGGCGUUAUCCGGAUUUAUUGGGUUUAAAGGGAGCGCAGGCCGGAUGUUAAGCGUGACGUGAAAUGCCGCGGCUCAACCGUGGAAGUGCGUCGCGAACUGGCGUCCUUGAGUGUGGACGACGUAGGCGGAAUUCGUGGUGUAGCGGUGAAAUGCUUAGAUAUCACGAAGAACCCCGAUUGCGAAGGCAGCCUACGAGGCCUCUACUGACGCUAAAGCUCGAAGGUGCGGGGUAUCGAACAGGAUUAGAUACCCUGGUAGUCCGCACGGUAAACGAUGGAAUGCCCGCUGUCGGCGACACACUGUCGGCGGCCAAGCGAAAGCGUUAAGCAUCCCACCUGGGGAGUACGCCGGCAACGGUGAAACUCAAAGGAAUUGACGGGGGCCCGCACAAGCGGAGGAGCAUGUGGUUUAAUUCGAUGAUACGCGAGGAACCUUACCCGGGCUUGAACUGCAGGGGGACGAUCCAGAGAUGGUGAGGUCAGCAAUGACCCCUGUGGAGGUGCUGCAUGGUUGUCGUCAGCUCGUGCCGUGAGGUGUCGGCUUAAGUGCCAUAACGAGCGCAACCCCUUUUGCCAGUUGCCAUCAGGUUAGGCUGGGCACUCUGGCGACACUGCCGCCGUAAGGUGUGAGGAAGGUGGGGAUGACGUCAAAUCAGCACGGCCCUUACGUCCGGGGCUACACACGUGUUACAAUGGGUGGUACAGAGCGUCAGUGCUGCGCAAGCCGCAUUCAAUCGUGAAAUCCGCCCUCAGUUCGGAUUGGGGUCUGCAACCCGACCCCAUGAAGCUGGAUUCGCUAGUAAUCGCGCAUCAGCCAUGGCGCGGUGAAUACGUUCCCGGGCCUUGUACACACCGCCCGUCAAGCCAUGAAAGCCUGGGGCGCCUGAAGUCCGUGACCGCGAGGGUCGGCCUAGGGUGAAACAGGUGAUUGGGGC
rnacentral:rRNA from 1 species